GUUUUUUUGGGGGAUCAUCAGUGGUUAUUUUCUUAUUUUUGCUUUCUGCAUCUUCCAAAUUUUCAACAAUGAAAAAGUAUUACUUUUGUAAUUAAACACACACAAAGUCAUAUUAAAAGAAAAGAAUAAGCUUUGCCUACUUCUCCAAAAGAAAGUGCUGAAAACAGGCUUUCUGCUGGGAUCGUCGCAUUUUGAAUGUGAGUUGCAGUUUUCAAACAUAAAGCACAGCUGUUUUGUCUCUUAGCCAGAAGCUGUGAAAAAGGGGAAAGAUUUUGAAAGCAGGAACAGGAAAAGACUAUUGAGAAAAGCGGCUGCUAUUUCUAGGCCACGGUCCUGCUGGCAACACUGUUCUCAGAAGCUAUGUCUUCCUACAUGGACUUACCGGGAUUUAUGAGUGAUGAGUCUAGAGGAUUCGUGGGAUCCACAGUCAGCGGAGACCAGGAGAGAUCUGAGACAAAGGAGGGAGUCAAAGCAGGCCAGAGAGAUGUGACAGACAGGCGGUUGACACUGGAGACUAACAUGGAUAUUAAGCAACAAUCUCUGUAGCGUUCAAUUAAGUGGGGGAGAAAAAAAGAAAAAGCAAGACUUACCCAAGAUAUCAGAUGGCACUAUACAUAUGAAUUGAAAGUGCAUUUGUAUUACAUCAAGAGUUCAUUUUAGGCACUGCUGAAUAACCAAUGAAAAUAGGUAGUUUUCAAGUUUUCCCCUUUAAAUUCUAACCCCUGCCCCAACAGCAUCCCAGAGACAGACACACACUCUCUGAAAUUGUCAUGAUGAAAUACACGUGAUGUUUAUUUUUUAAAAAAAUUCUCCCUGACUGGUAACGGGAGGAAAAAUAAGAAUACCAUUUUGGUAGUGGCUUUUGCAAGUUAAAAGAAUUGGUUCUAUAAAUACUUCGGCACAUCCAUUAAGUUUGACUGCCAGUUCCAAAUAUCAAUACAUAUUUUAAAACAGGAUAUGUAAGAAAAAGUGCUUAAAAUCUUUCAGUGACCAACAAGACACAUUACGGAAAAGAUUUGUUUUACAGUUCCUUGGAGAUGUUUUGUACUCCUGCCUUCUCCGUUUGCAGGCGGCCACCGUGUAAAUAGCCCUUUAGUACUGGUAGUAGUGAGAAGCCCUGUCAGAUCCCAGUGCCACCUCAUGUCUCUGGUCUAUGCAUCACCCAGUAGGUGGUGCUGAAGUUCCACCCCUCAUACGUCUUCAGAAAUCAAAUGAUUCCCCCGUCAGAGCAGGAGAGGAAUCUCUAAGAACUAUCAAUUCUGAACACAACAAGCCGUGAGACCAGACCAAAGUCUUUCUUGUUAUGCCAUCUAGAUGAUUUCAUUUUCAAUACUGUUACUGAAGCAGUUUUGUUUAGCCAUUUGCUUAUACUACCAGAUUAAAAACAGAAAGGUUUUAAAGGAAAAGCCAACUGGCAGUGCCAAAUGUGUACGCAGAACGAGAAAAUAGUUCCUGAACAUACCUAUACACCUGUUUAGCGAGAAAUUCAAACUACCCAUUUGUUUUCACAUAAGAAUUCUAAUUUACUCCAGAAAAUUUCCACAUAGGGAUUCAGUUAAUAUUCUAUUAUCAGUUAGUCUUCUAAACUGAUUUGGAAACUGAGUGUGUAACUACAAUGAUCCAAGGUGAAAUAAAAACCAUUUCAUCACCA
rnacentral:lncRNA from 1 species